rnacentral:rRNA from 1 species
AGAACGAACGCUGGCGGCAUGCCUAACACAUGCAAGUCGAACGAGACCUUCGGGUCUAGUGGCGCACGGGUGCGUAACGCGUGGGAAUCUGCCCUUGGGUUCGGAAUAACAGUUGGAAACGACUGCUAAUACCGGAUGAUGACGUAAGUCCAAAGAUUUAUCGCCCAGGGAUGAGCCCGCGUAGGAUUAGCUAGUUGGUGAGGUAAAGGCUCACCAAGGCGACGAUCCUUAGCUGGUCUGAGAGGAUGGUCAGCCACACUGGGACUGAGACACGGCCCAGACUCCUACGGGAGGCAGCAGUGGGGAAUAUUGGACAAUGGGCGAAAGCCUGAUCCAGCAAUGCCGCGCGAGUGAUGAAGGCCUUAGGGUUGUAAAGCUCUUUUACCCGGGAUGAUAAUGACAGUACCGGAGAAUAAGCUCCGCUAACUCGCGCCAGCAGCCGC